GUGCCAGCAGCCGCGGUAAUACAUAGGCGGCAAGCGUUGUCCGGAAUUAUUGGGCGUAAAGGGAGCGCAGGUGGGACGGUAAGUCUGUCUUAAAAGGCAAGGGCUCAGCCCCUGUAAGGGACAGAAACUAUCGUUCUUGAGUGCCGGAGAGGAAAGCGGAAUUCCCAGUGUAGCGGUGAAAUGCGUAGAUAUUGGGAAGAACACCAGUGGCGAAGGCGGCUUUCUGGACGGCAACUGACACUGAGGCUCGAAAGCCAGGGUAGCGAACGGGAUUAGAUACCCCGGUAGUCCUGGCCGUAAGCGAUGGAUACUAGGUGUAGGAGGUAUCGACCCCUCCUGUGCCGGAGUUAACGCAAUAAGUAUCCCGCCUGGGGAGUACGGUCGCAAGACUGAAACUCAAAGGAAUUGACGGGGGCCCGCACAAGCGGUGGAGUAUGUGGUUUAAUUCGACGCAACGCGAAGAACCUUACCAGGGCUUGACAUUGAGUGCAAGGGCAAGAGAUUGUCCCCUUAUCUUCGGAUAACACGAAAACGGUGGCGCAAGGCUGUCGUC
rnacentral:rRNA from 1 species